UUUCACAUACUGCUCUGUGCGGCUGCUGCCAGGGAUACAAGGGCAAAAGCAACCCCGGGACACUGCCCUCAUGGAGCUUACAGUCUAACUGGGGCGACCAGGCAGGCACAUACAGCUAUAGAAUUAAGUGGGAAGUGAUAAGUGACAUGCAUGUCCUUUGCUAACACAAGCUGCAGGUUCAGAGCCUGAAAGAGGGGACUUCCGGCUAGACGAUCUAGGAGCUCUUCCUUGGAGAACAGUUUCCACUCGUGGAGGCUAAGUGUCAGAAACAUGUUCCAAGUGGAGAGAAAGCUUGAGCAAAGGCAACAAGUUGAAAAAGGACAUGUCGCCCACCCAUAGAUAGAUAAAACACUGCAUCUCCUCGUGGAUCCAGCGCCCAGUAUUUACCCGCCAGGAAGUUUUCCUGCCCCGCGCAGCAGCUGAAAAAAACACACUCCUGGGGCAUCCUUCCCUGGCGUUGGUUCGUGGACAGCAAGCCUCCCAGAACUGGCCUAGGUCGGGAAGGUGCAGCCACGCGGGAAUCAAUGGUUCAGGAACCGGAUCUGUGCAGCCUCGCCCGCAGCGUCUCGG
rnacentral:lncRNA from 1 species